rnacentral:rRNA from 1 species
UACGUAGGGUGCAAACGUUAUUCGGAUUUAUUGGGUGUAAAGGGUGUGUAGACGGUAUAUUAAGUUUGUUGUUAAAUCCAUCGGCCUAACUGAUGGCUUGCAAUGAAAACUGGUAAACUUGAGAGUGGAAGAGAGAAGCGGAAUUCUCGGAGUAGCGGUAAAAUGCGUAGAUCUCGAGAGGAACACCGAUGGCGAAGGCAGCUUCUUGGUCCAUUUCUGACGUUGAUACACGAAAGCGUGGGGAGCAAACAGG